AGUGGAAUGGCCGAGAUUAAGGUGAUAAAUUGUAAAUUUAUUUAGGAGUUUAACCCCUCUUUCACUA
rnacentral:tRNA from 1 species